rnacentral:rRNA from 1 species
UGUUCAAGUUCUGGGCUCCACCUUGAAAUUGCAGUUGAUACUGUAGAUCUUGAGUGCAGUUGAGGCAGGCGGAAUUCGUGGUGUAGCGGUGAAAUGCUUAGAUAUCAAGAAGAACUCCGAUUGCGAAGGCAGCUUGCUAAAGUGUAACUGACGUUCAUGCUCGAAAGUGUGGGUAUCAAA